CCUACGGGAGGCUGCAGUGGGGAAUAUUGGGCAAUGGAGGAAACUCUGACCCAGCAACGCCGCGUGAAUGAUGAAGGUCUUCGGAUUGUAAAGUUCUUUUCUAAGGGAAGAAGAAAGUGACGGUACCUUAGGAAUAAGCCUCGGCUAACUACGUGCCAGCAGCCGCGGUAAUACGUAGGAGGCAAGCGUUAUCCGGAAUGACUGGGCGGAAAGGGUGCGUAGGUGGUUUGACAAGUUGGUAGCGUAACUCCGAGGCUUAACCUCGACAUUACUACCAAAACUGUUGGACUCGAGUGCAGGAGGGGCAAAUGGAAUUCCUUGUGUAGCGGUGGAAUGCGUAGAUAUUAGGAGGAACACCAGUGGCGAAGGCGAUUUGCUGGACUGUAACUGACACUGAGGCACGAAAGCGUGGGGAGCAAACAGGAUUAGAUACCCGAGUAGUC
rnacentral:rRNA from 1 species